rnacentral:rRNA from 1 species
UACGGAGGAUCCAAGCGUUGUCCGGAUUUAUUGGGUUUAAAGGGUGCGUAGGCGGCCCUGUAAGUCAGUGGUGAAAUACUCCAGCUUAACUGGAGGGGUGCCAUUGAUACUGCAGGGCUUGAGUGGAGUCGAAGUAGGCGGAAUUGACGGUGUAGCGGUGAAAUGCUUAGAUAUCGUCAAGAACACCGAUAGUGAAGACAGCUUACUAGGCUUCUACUGACGCUGAGGCACGAAAGUGUGGGGAUCAAACAAG